rnacentral:lncRNA from 1 species
AAGCAAUGUGUAAAUCAGCUCUGGUCACAAAAACCAAUUCUGUGAAGACCAUACAGCUUCCCAUUUAAACCACAGAGAGGACAUACAGUACAGCUCACUGAAGUGAUGUGCUCUGUAUAUUGAGCUACACCCUCCCUUCUUCCUCCAUGAGCUGAGAUCCGUUACUCUCUCUCAGUGUGACUACAUUACACUGGCCUUUCCCCCUCCCCCACUGAGCGUGCCUUAUAAAGUUGGGUCCUGGGGUGGGCGACGGCAUGGAAAGCAGGCCUUUUCUCCAGUUCCACUGCAGUUAUUGAUGAGGGAUUUUCAGUUGUUCAUCAUUUAUUUUAUUUGCUUGAUGACUGUCUUCGGUGCAUCUAUCCACGGAGAAGCUUUGAAAUCCAUAUUUCCAGGGUGUGGAGCUGGUGGAGUCAUAUUGAGAGGAUGUUAGUCUUCAGAUGUAACCACUCUACACAAGCUUUUACUUUUCUGAUUCACUUGAAAAUAUAACAACAGAAAUAAAUUGGCUCCCUCCAAGGCAGGUUGUAAAUGACUACUGUUGUCACUAUUGUUUGUGUUUGUGUAAUAAACUCUGGUCUGGUUUUCUGACUAUUAACAAUUAUAAAAAAUAAUUUAAAACAA